AGACGUCUACAUUAGAUACCCGGGUAGUCCCAGCCGUAAACUAUGCGCGUUAGGUGUAUCGGUGACCACGAGUUACCGAGGUGCCGAAGGGAAACCGUGAAACGUGCCGCCGUGGGAAGUACGGUCGCAAGGCUAGAAACUUAAAGGAAUUGGCGGGGAGCACCACAACGGGUGGAGCCUGCGGUUUAAUUGGACUCAACGCCGGGAAGCUCACCGGAUAAGACAGCGGAAUGAUUGCCGGGCUGAAGACUCUGCAUGACUAGCUG
rnacentral:rRNA from 1 species